UACGUAGGGGCCUAGCGUUGUCCGGAAUUAUUGGGCGUAAAGAGCUCGUAGGCGGUUCGGUAAGUCGGGUGUGAAAUCUCGGAGCUUAACUCCGAAACUGCAUUCGAUACUGCCGUGCUUGAGGACUGGAGAGGAGACUGGAAUUUACGGUGUAGCGGUGAAAUGCGUAGAUAUCGUAAGGAAGACCAGUGGCGAAGGCGGGUCUCUGGACAGUAACUGACGCUGAGGAGCGAAAGCGUGGGGAGCGAACAGG
rnacentral:rRNA from 1 species